rnacentral:rRNA from 1 species
GUCCACGCCGUAAACGAUGGGUACUAGGUGUCUGGGGGAGCGACCCCCUGGGUGCCGGCGCUAACGCAUGAAGUACCCCGCCUGGGGAGUACGGCCGCAAGGCUGAAACUCAAAGGAAUUGACGGGGGCCCGCACAAGCGGUGGAGCAUGUGGUUUAAUUCGACGCAACGCGAAGAACCUUACCUGGGUUUGACAUGCUGGAGAAAGCUUGCGGAAACGUGAGCCCCUCUUCGGAGUUCCAGCACAGAUGCUGCAUGGCUGUCGU